UUAAUUGUAGUUGCACCCAAGUGACCAAAACUCAAAUAGAGAGACACACACGCACGCACGCAUACGCACACACAGAAACACACACACACACACAAUGAAGAAGUGCACACGUCAGUGCCACGAAAUCUGCUCAAAAUUUCAAUGUCGAUAGAUAGGAGCACGACGAACCUAACGAAACACACGCGACGACGACAUUGGACACAUCCAUACCGGAGAUAGUCCAGUGCUUUCUUUUUGUUUGUUUGUCCCUCC